rnacentral:lncRNA from 1 species
UCUGGCGAAUCCUUUAUAACAAUGGUUUCUUCGUGUGCCGGCAUUACAUUAUUCGACUCAAUUGAUGGGGAUUUUCUUCUCUGUUUAUGCUUUUUGGUAGGUUGCCGAAAUCUAUAUUCUAGAUCAUCAUUCGGACUGGAAAUAUCUGUGGCAAAAUUGAUGGCUUGUAUUCAGUGCUUUACUGUUGCAGCAAUUUUCUGGUGAAUCUGUGAUAACUAUUACUUCUUUGAGAG